UACGUAGGGUCCGAGCGUUGUCCGGAAUUAUUGAGCGUAAAGGGCUCGUAGGCGGUCUGUUGCGUCGGGAGUGAAAACUUACAGCUUAACUGUGAGCGUGCUUUCGAUACGGGCAGACUUGAGGCAUUCAGGGGAGAACGGAAUUCCUGGUGUAGCGGUGAAAUGCGCAGAUAUCAGGAGGAACGCCGGUGGCGAAGGCGGUUCUCUGGGAAUGUCCUGACGCUGAGGAGCGAAAGUGUGGGGAGCGAACAGG
rnacentral:rRNA from 1 species